rnacentral:rRNA from 1 species
GACAGAGGUGCCAAGCGUUAGGCGGAAUCACUGGGCUUAAAGCGUGUGUAGGUGGAUGCCUAAGUGCCUUGUGAAAUCCCACGGCUCAACCGUGGAAUUGCUUGGCAUACUGGGUGUCUUGAGCCACUUAGGGGUCGCUGGAACAAACGGUGGAGCGGUGAAAUGCGUAGAUAUCGUUUGGAACGCCAAUGGUGAAAACAGGCGACUGGGGAGUGUGCUGACACUGAGACACGAAAGCCAGGGGAGCGAACGGG